ACUUUUUUUUUUGUUUAUAGCACAAAAUAAUUCACUGAAAUAGCAGACAACGCAAAAUUCCUCAUUCAGUCACGUGACCCACGAGGAGCCGCUGUAGAAUUCCGUGACGUCACACUAGUUAGGAGGUAGUCGGGAAGCGGUCAUUUUACAUAGCGUGUCAGUAUUUUUUCACCUUUGCGAUGGAGUUUGUAUGUUUAAACGAGGACGAAUACGAAGCGAGCCAACUUAAUGUUAAAAACGAGGAGUGCUGUGUCCAGCCAUAUGCGUUUGAGCCGUUAGUUAGGCGUGAAUUACGGGACAACACCGAGGAAAGUGGAGAAAGUAGGAGUAGCGAUGAUGACCACGCUAGUAGGCCGACAUCGUCGUCGUCCCACUCAGAAUCUGCCAGUGAAGAGGAUAUUGGCGACCGUUCCCAUCGACUGACAAAUACUGACUGGUGCAAAUGUGGCAACUGUGUGAUUAUGCCCACAGUGGAUGAAUGCAAGUGCUGCACAGAAACGCACCUUGUUGAUCAGGAAGUCGAGUCAGCUGGGCUGCAAUGUAUAACCUUACAUGAAGGCUUUCAGGGAAACUGCCUCAACCAGUAUGUCCUCAAGGCAUCUUUUGUUGAAUUUUUGGAGGGACAUGGUCCUCUUGGAAAUGAUGAACCAGUAAACGAGAUUUACAGGUACAUUGCAUAUAGAAGAAUGAUCAGAUGGAUUUGGGGACGCAUUGGAAAAGGAAAUAGGAAAGUUCUUCCAUCCUGUGCAGUGAAUAAAAUAAGAGAGACCUGGGAGUCAGCAGACUACACUGGUUUUAAAUACCCAACUGUGUGAACCUCGACUUCCUAGUUGCCACAACUGUUGGAAAGUUCUCAAAUGGGUGUUCAUGGAUGUCUACAAUGUGGUUCAUCACCAACUUCCACUUGGCCACAACCAGCUCAGCAUUUCCAUCACUGCUUGCCCCACACCAAUAUACAUGGUUGGAGAUGCUGUGGAUCCACGGUGAGAUGAUGAGCAGCUCUUGCUUUUUUGACCAGAGACUAUUCACAGCUGGAAUAAGGUAUGCCUUCUGUAUGUUAUAAUAAGUACUGACGCAGAAUGUUGAAAUCCUCAUAAAUUUAAAACAAUUGACUGCCUUCACAGUACUACAUCCACUAAACAUUAUGGAAGCGGCUAGCUGUAAGUUGCCAAGUGGCAUGGUGCCAUGUGAUGGCUGACUUUUCCAGGUCUUCACAUGAGAGGGGUCAACACUGCACUGUGAUGUCAAGGUCACCAUGGUGCCCGAUACCUUUGUAGAUAUUAUUUUGCAGGCAUUCCCACAUAAAAAACACAAGGCUAGGAGGGACUGAAGACACGAUUCGAAGACUAUGAACUUUCUCUCUCUCAUAGGGGUAACCUGUCCGUGGACCUCGAGCCCCAGAAGGCGGCCCUACAGUCCUUGACCAGCAAUGUUACGUUCAAGAAAACUGGAGAACUGGAGGACAAAAUAAUAAAAAUAAAUCAGCUACUCCUGAUUCUUCCCAUAGUCCAAAUAAACGGGUUACUCUUAA